rnacentral:lncRNA from 1 species
UGUCAUUUAGGGUCAUCUUAUUUGGAUAAGAGAUUAUUCAGUUCCACUGCUUCCCUCUACCACUCAUCUUUUGAGCUUUUUUAUAGCCAAAGACUUUUACCCAAAAAUGAAGAGGAAGACACCAGUUGCUUC